ACGAACGCUGGCGGCGUGCUUAACACAUGCAAGUCGCACGGAAAGGCCCUGCUUUUGUGGGGUGCUCGAGUGGCGAACGGGUGAGUAACACGUGAGUAACCUGCCCUUGACUUUGGGAUAACUUCAGGAAACUGGGGCUAAUACCGGAUAGGAGCUCAUGCUGCAUGGUGGGGGUUGGAAAGUUUCGGCGGUUGGGGAUGGACUCGCGGCUUAUCAGCUUGUUGGUGGGGUAGUGGCUUACCAAGGCUUUGACGGGUAGCCGGCCUGAGAGGGUGACCGGCCACAUUGGGACUGAGAUACGGCCCAGACUCCUACGGGAGGCAGCAGUGGGGAAUAUUGCACAAUGGGCGGAAGCCUGAUGCAGCAACGCCGCGUGCGGGAUGACGGCCUUCGGGUUGUAAACCGCUUUCGCCUGUGACGAAGCGUGAGUGACGGUAAUGGGUAAAGAAGCACCGGCUAACUACGUG
rnacentral:rRNA from 1 species